UUGACCUCGAAUCAGGUAGGACUACCCGCUGAACUUAAGCAUAUCAAUAAGCGGAGGAAAAGAAACCAACAGGGAUUGCCCCAGUAACGGCGAGUGAAGCGGCAACAGCUCAAAUUUGAAAUCUGGCCCCCAGGGGCCCGAGUUGUAAUUUGUAGAGGAUGCUUUUGGCGAGGCGCCUUCCGAGUUCCCUGGAACGGGACGCCACAGAGGGUGAGAGCCCCGUCUGGUUGGAUGCCGAGCCUCUGUAAAGCUCCUUCGACGAGUCGAGUAGUUUGGGAAUGCUGCUCUAAAUGGGAGGUAUAUGUCUUCUAAAGCUAAAUAUUGGCCAGAGACCGAUAGCGCACAAGUAGAGUGAUCGAAAGAUGAAAAGCACUUUGAAAAGAGGGUUAAAUAGUACGUGAAAUUGUUGAAAGGGAAGCGCUCAUGACCAGACUUCGCCCCGGGGGACAAAGGCUCUGGGAAUGUGGCUCCUCCGGGAGUGUUAUAGCCCUCUGCUGCAUGCCCUGGGGCGGACUGAGGUUCGCGCGUCUGCAAGGAUGCUGGCGUAAUGGUCAUCAGCGACC
rnacentral:rRNA from 1 species